UACGUAGGGUGCAAGCGUUGUCCGGAAUUAUUGGGCGUAAAGAGCUCGUAGGCGGUCUGUCGCGUCGGCUGUGAAAUCCCGAGGCUCAACCUCGGGUCUGCAGUCGAUACGGGCAAACUAGAGUAUGGCAGGGGAGACUGGAAUUCCUGGUGUAGCGGUGGAAUGCGCAGAUAUCAGGAGGAACACCGGUGGCGAAGGCGGGUCUCUGGGCCAAAACUGACGCUGAGGAGCGAAAGCGUGGGGAGCAAACAGG
rnacentral:rRNA from 1 species